rnacentral:rRNA from 1 species
UGCGCAGGCGGAAAAGUAAGUCAGUGGUGAAAUCUCUCGGCUCAACCGAGAAACUGCCAUUGAUACUGCUUAUCUAGAGUUUAGUUGAAGUGGGCGGAAUGUAGCAUGUAGCGGUGAAAUGCAUAGAGAUGCUACAGAACACCGAUUGCGAAGGCAGCUCACUAAGCUAAAACUGACGCUCAGGCACGAAAGCGUGGGGAUCAAACAGGAUUAGAUACCCUGGUAGUCC